GUGCUUACUUUGGCUGCACAUAUACUAAAAUUGGAAUGUACAGAGAAGAUUAGCGUCCCCCUAUGCAAGGAUGACAUGCAAAUUAGUGAAGCUUUCCAUAUUUUA
rnacentral:snRNA from 1 species